ensembl:snoRNA SNORD1B small nucleolar RNA, C/D box 1B
CCGAGUCCGUGAUGAUGGAAAGUUAUCCCUGUCUGAAGGCGCAGCGAGCCUGGCUGUGGAGCGUGGAGGUCUGAGACUCGG